GACGGAGGGGGCAAGCGUUGUUCGGAAUUACUGGGCGUAAAGGGUGCGUAGGCUGUCGCGUGUGUCAGAGGUGAAAUCCCCGAGCUUAACUUGGGAACUGCCUUUGAAACUGCGCGACUUGAAUGAUAGAGAGGCAAGUAGAAUUCCGAGUGUAGAGGUGAAAUUCGUAGAUAUUCGGAGGAAUACCGGUGGCGAAGGCGGCUUGCUGGCUAUUUAUUGACGCUGAGGCACGAAAGCGUGGGGAGCAAACAGG
rnacentral:rRNA from 1 species